GGUUAACGCUGGCGGCGUGCCUAACACAUGCAAGUCGAACGGUUCUAAGCGCGAGCUUAGGAUAGUGGCGAACGGGUGAGUAAAAGGUAGGAAUCUACCCCUUGGACGGAGAUAGCUACUGGAAACGGUAGGUAAACUUCGAUAAGCCCGAGAGGGGAAAGUGGUGAGACAGCCGAGGGAUGAGCCUACUCUCCAUCAGGUAGUUGGUGAGAUAAAAGCUUACCAAGCCGAUGACGGAUAACCGGUGUGAGAGCAUGAACGGUCACAAGGGCACUGAGAGACGGGCCCUACUCCUACGAGAGGCAGCAGUGGGGAAUUUUGGACAAUGGGCGAAAGCCUGAUCCAGCCAUUCCGCGUGCAGGAUGAAGGCCCUCGGGUUGUAAACUGCUUUUGUACAGAACGAAAAAGCUCUGGCUAAUACCUGGAGUCCAUGACGGUACUGUAAGAAUAAGCACCGGCUAACUACGUG
rnacentral:rRNA from 1 species